GGCCCCGUCGUCUAGUGGUUAGGACAUGAGCUUUUCAAGCUUAAAACAGGGGUUCGACUCCCCUCGGGGCUA
rnacentral:tRNA from 1 species